GUCUACAGCCAUACCUCCCUGAAUGCACCCAAUGUCGUCUGAUCUCGGAAGCUAAGCAGGGUCGGGCUUGGAUAGUACUUGGAUGGGAGACCUCCUGGGAAUACCAGGUACUGUAGGCU
ensembl:rRNA 5S_rRNA 5S ribosomal RNA